UACGAAGGGGGCUAGCGUUGUUCGGAAUUACUGGGCGUAAAGCGCGCGCAGGCGGUCUUCCAAGUCAGUGGUGAAAGCCCCGGAGCUCAACUCCGGAACUGCCAUUGAAACUGUUAGACUUGAGGAUGAGAGAGGUGAGUGGAAUUCCCAGUGUAGAGGUGAAAUUCGUAGAUAUUGGGAAGAACACCGGUGGCGAAGGCGGUUCUCUGGGCAUUACCUGACGCUGAGGAGCGAAAGCAUGGGGAGCGAACAGG
rnacentral:rRNA from 1 species